CAAGCCUUAAAGAGAAGCAGAACGUUUAUCAAAAAGGACGGAAGGCAAAAGCUGAGACGAAAGACAGAACAGUUCACUCACGAAACAGAGGCUUCUUAUCACACAUGCAACGGAAAAUCUAGGGUUCUUUACAAAUCACUAAUUCUUGAACUCAGGUAUGUAAAAUUCCCUAUGGUCAAUUACCGUAAUAGGUAAGAAUUGAAUAGUUAAUUACCUUAUUCCUCUAUAUCAACAAUAAAUUUCAUGUUUAGGUGUAAAAUUUUAAAUUUAUUAAAAUACACUGGUUGUUGUAGAAUCAAUUGGUUGACGGGUAUAAAUUGGACUGGGGCCUACGUAUUUGCUCGAGAAGUUUUGAGGUGAGUUAAUAUAAUCCUUUACCAAAGUAGUUUUACUCACAAAAGUAUGCAUACAAGGUGUUUGUUGAAUUGGCUAAAAGAAUGAAUAUGUACUUAAUUGAAGAGUGAGUAGCUCAUCUUACUUUCCAACUCAAAAGUUUUGUGCCUCACAUUCAAUUUCAAAUCGUUUCCCUUAUGUAGAAAAAAUAAAGUUCCUACCAUUAGGUUUGUUCAAAAAUCUGCAUUUUUAGUUUGGUACUAUCGUAUUAGAAACACGGUAAGAGUAAAUAUUGUGAGGAAUCCAAUUCAUAUGUUUAGAUUUUUUUUCCUUUUUUCUUUUUUUUUCUCUAUUUGGAAUUUGGCCAAAAAGCUGCAUUGACAUUCUAUUAGCAUAGAAUUAUGUUAGUUAAAGUCAGAUGAUUUAUUCUGACAUAUGUGC
rnacentral:lncRNA from 1 species